GAAACCUGACAUUUAGGACAGUUUCAACAAGACGAAAAAAUGUGGCAUAAAUGUGAAGGUUCAUUAAUGCAUUCGCUCCAAAUGCUUUAUGUUGCCCUGUUUCAAUUUGUCAUGUGUAUGUUGGAGGAAAGAAAUAAUUUUUUCCUGCUAGUGGGAAGAAAAGAAAAGGGAGAGGUUGUUAAUAUUUUCUAAUUGAUACAUGCAGGGCCACAGCUAAGAAAUUGAGUCAGUGGGCCAAAAGAAAUUUAUUUUGCUUAAUUAAAAAAAAAUAUGUACAAUAAUAAAUUAUUUACUUAAAAAAAACAUGACAAUGCAUGUAAAUUUUCAAUAGAUAAUAAUUAAGUAAAAAAAAGAAAAUAAUUUGGUUAAAAAAAAUUCUAGCUAUAAUCUUAAAUUUACAAUUAUACUGGAUAAGUUUUCUUUUUUUAAAAGAUUUACACGAUUGCUUCAUUAUUAGUACCAUCAAAGACAUAUUUCUCAAUAUAUGUAAUCAAAGAAUCAUUUAACAACUGAUAUCCUAUUCAAUUAUGCAAUCGAGUUUUUUGCAAUCUUUAUUGCAAAAAAUGUCCUUUCAACACUAGUUGCAACAGGUGACAUCAAAGUCAAUUUCGCAAACAAGUAAACUAACGGAUGCAAUACAUUUUUCUUUGUUUGGAUUAGCUUUUGAGCAAGAUCACCAAUUUCCUUAAUUUACCUUAUGAAAUUGAGAUUAUCCAUUAGUUUUGUUGACAUAAAAAUGGAAAAAGGAGAAAAAGUACCAAUUGAUAUAGAAUGAAAGAAAAGAACAAAAAAAGAGAUAUGAAAGAGGGGAAAAAAUUGUGAUUAUGUGAACAUGAGAAUGAGAAGAUAUGAAAGCUAGACAAGAAAGAACUAGAAGGAAGAUUAAAAAAA
rnacentral:misc_RNA from 1 species